rfam:Meloidogyne hapla strain VW9 Mh10g200708_Contig50, whole genome shotgun sequence.
AUCGCUUCUCGGCCUUUUGGCUAAGAUCAAAGUGUAGUAUCUGUUCUUUACGGCUUAAUCUCCGUAACGAUCCCUACCGGGAUCAAAGAGAUUAACCAAUUUUUGGAAAAGGGUAAGAGUUGGAAGCUUGCUUCCUCUCUGCCACGCGUCGGCCCGGUCUUGCACUUACCUCCGGGAACGGCGCUUCUCCC